rnacentral:rRNA from 1 species
CCAAAAAGACCGGUCUCAGUUCGGAUUGUAGGCUGCAACCCGCCUACAUGAAGUCGGAAUCGCUAGUAAUCGCGAGUCAGCAUAUCGCGGUGAAUACGUUCCCGGGUCUUGUACACACCGCCCGUCACACCACGGAAGUUGGCAACACCCGAAGCCGAUGGGCUAACCGCAAGGAGGCAGUCGUCUAAGGUGGGAUCGAUAACUGGGGUGAAGUCGUAACAAGGUAAC